rnacentral:rRNA from 1 species
AUACGAAGGGUGCAAGCGUUACUCGGAAUUACUGGGCGUAAAGCGUGCGUAGGUGGUUGUUUAAGUCUGUCGUGAAAGCCCUGGGCUCAACCUGGGAAUGGCGAUGGAAACUGGGCGACUAGAGUGUGGCAGAGGGUAGUGGAAUUCCUGGUGUAGCAGUGAAAUGCGUAGAGAUAAGGAGGAACAUCCGUGGCGAAGGCGACUGCCUGGGCCAACACUGACACUGAGGCACGAAAGCGUGGGGAGCAAACAGGAUUAGAUACCCUGGUAGUCCACGCCCUAAACGAUGCGAACUGGAUGUUGGGUGCAAUUUGGCACGCAGUAUCGAAGCUAACGCGUUAAGUUCGCCGCCUGGGGAGUACGGUCGCAAGACUGAAACUCAAAUGAAUUGGCGGGG